AUUGAACGCUGGCGGCAUGCUUAAAAAAGGCAAGCGGAACGGAACAAGGCCUUGGGGUCUGGAGGGGUGGCAAAGGGGGGGGUAUGCCAUCGGAAGGUACCCAGGGGGGGGGGAAAAGGAAGCGAAAGCGGGGCAAAUACCCCAUGGGAUCGGAGAUGGAAGGCGGGGAACGGGGAGGAAAUGUUUGCCUUGGGGCCUUUGGAGCGGCCGAUGUCGGAUUAGCAAGUGGGUGGGGUAAAGGCCUACCAAGGCGACGAUCCGUAGCUGGUCUGAGAGGACGACCAGCCACACUGGGACUGAGACACGGCCCAGACUCCUACGGGAGGCAGCAGUGGGGAAUUUUGGACAAUGGGCGCAAGCCUGAUCCAGCAAUGCCGCGUGCGGGAAGAAGGCCUUCGGGUUGUAAACCGCUUUUGGCAGGAACGAAACGGUGUCCGCUAAUACCGGGCGCUAAUGACGGUACCUGCAGAAUAAGCACCGGCUAACUACGUG
rnacentral:rRNA from 1 species